GCCACGGUGGUCUAGCGGUCAGAACGCUGGGCUUGUAAUCCUGGGGCCGGGUUCGAUUCCCGGUGGUGCCC
rnacentral:tRNA from 1 species